GAUGAACGCUGGCGGCGUGCCUAAUACAUGCAAGUCGAGCGAACUUUUGGGAGCUUGCUCCCAAUAGUUAGCGGCGGACGGGUGAGUAACACGUGGGGAACCUGUCUGUAAGACUGGGAUAACUUCGGGAAACCGGAGCUAAUACCGGAUAACAUUGAAGACCACAUGGCCUUCAAUUAAAAGAUGGCUUUUAGCUACCACUUACAGAUGGACCCGCGGCGCAUUAGCUAGUUGGUGAGGUAACGGCUCGCCAAGGCGACGAUGCGUAGCCGACCUGAGAGGGUGGACGGCCCACCCGGGACCGGGACCCCGCCCCAGCCCCUUCGGGGGGCAGCCGUUGGGGAUCCUCCGGCAUGGAGGGAAGGCUGAACGGACCACCGCGGGUGGAGGGAGGAGGGCCUUGGGUCGUUAAACUUCUUUGUUAAGGGAGGACAAGUAUCGUACGUAUAGGGCGAUGCCUUGACGGUACCUAAUCAGAAAGCCACGGCUAACUACGUG
rnacentral:rRNA from 1 species